CACAAGCAUCCGGAGUUUAUCACUUCGACAACCCAAUUUGGGUUACCUUUUUUUGGUUCCGUGCACUCGCCUUGAUCUCAUGCAGCCUUGCAGCCUGAUCCUCUAUUCUGGUCCGGGCAUGUGUCAGUUGCUUGGAUUGUUUUAGAAAUUCAAGAUUAGGAUUGACAUGACUGUUGCAGGCAUGGAGGCCAUGGAUUGGAGUGCCGACCCAUUUGAUCCAGCUAGACCCUACACCAUUGAAUUGGUAAUCCGGAUUUACUUAAAAUUAAAUGGUUUAGAAUCCAAAAAUGAAUGAGUUUUAUAGCAAUAUUAGUAAUGCAUCUGAAGACAGUCUCAAAGCCAAACUAGAAAUAAAAAAUUUUAUCUGGAUGUAAAAUCACAUUAAAAAUUUGAAUAUUAAAAGCAAUAAACCAGAGGUUAAUAGGUCAAGCACUUAAACCUAAUCUAUGGAUGCCUUGAAGUCCUCUCACAUUCUCUUCUUGUUUGAUCUUUAUCCUUUGUUUGAUACGAAGAGUGGAUUAGAGGAAGAAUAGAUAAAAAAAGAAGAAUAGAU
rnacentral:lncRNA from 1 species